AACGAACGCUGGCGGCAGGCCUAACACAUGCAAGUCGAGCGGACCCUUCGGGGUUAGCGGCGGACGGGUGAGUAACGCGUGGGAAUAUGCCCUUCUCUACGGAAUAGUCCUGGGAAACUGGGGGUAAUACCGUAUACGCCCUUUGGGGGAAAGAUUUAUCGGGGAAGGAUUAGCCCGCGUUGGAUUAGGUAGUUGGUGGGGUAAUGGCCUACCAAGCCGACGAUCCAUAGCUGGUUUGAGAGGAUGAUCAGCCACACUGGGACUGAGACACGGCCCAGACUCCUACGGGAGGCAGCAGUGGGGAAUCUUAGACAAUGGGGGCAACCCUGAUCUAGCCAUGCCGCGUGAGUGAUGAAGGCCUUAGGGUUGUAAAGCUCUUUCAGCUUGGAAGAUAAUGACGGUACCAGCAGAAGAAGCCCCGGCUAACUCCGUG
rnacentral:rRNA from 1 species